GCGAAGGUGGCGGAAUUGGUAGACGCGCUAGCUUCAGGUGUUAGUGUCCUUACGGACGUGGGGGUUCAAGU
rnacentral:tRNA from 3 species